ACCAGGUUUCUCCUUCUCCAAUGACUCCGUAAGAUGCAGUAUCAGUCCCGUUUUUGUUAAUACUAUUUUUGUGCAUGCAGCUUGCUGUUUGUAGAGUUUAUGAUUAACACAAAGGUGGCUGUCCAGAGACCUCAGCCAGGUUAUGUCUGUUCUUCUCAGAGAUGUACCAGAAAAAAGAACAGCCCCUUUGGCUGGUUUUUCUAGCUCUUUCAAAGAAAAUUGCACAUAAGGAGGAAAGAAGAUAAAUUGGAGAAUGGCACUUUUCAGAGCAACAACUGAAAUGAAGGGCUUGAUUCACAAAACAGAGCUUCUUCCCAGCUUCAUCCAACAUGGCUGUGGUGGCAGUACUUCGACUGAGAAGAGCUGUGACCCUGCAGUCAGCCAAUAAGACUAUCCUGGAGGAAAAACAGGGGAGCAGAGUUGUAAGCAUCAUAAUUCAUCCCUGAGAAACUGAGCAGAGAGGAAUAAUGAAAGCCUCGGCCCCCUUCCUUUCAUAUACCAGAGAUCCAGACACAUGUGUAACAUGUGUCUUGUAAGUCAUAAAAAGAAAUAAUUGAUCCAGAGGUUAAAUAGACAAAAGAAAUAAGAAGAAAAAUGAGAUCAAAUGAUUCACCUGCUCUGACACCUGAUGGAGGAGGAGUGCUGCCUCUCCCCUGCUCUCAGGACUUACAGAGGUCAGAAACACUGCACUGGAAAUUCAAUGGGAUGGAGAAGAUAUGACUAAUUUGAUUUGCACAUCUGUUUUAUCUCAUUUGUGUGUAUUUCUGUUAAAGAUAGCUGGGAUGUAAAGGCGAAUGAAAUAAAAUAAUUAUAACCAUGUUGGAAAAACCUUUUAAAACACAGCUAGUCUGCUUGAACUUGCCUGACCAGCAAGGCAGGAGCCUUGGAGGAAAGAGCACACAAGCAAGAAAGAUCAAAGUUGUUUUAGAAGAAAGUUGUAGUCUAUCUAGAAAGUUUUUUUUUCAGUGGCAUGCACAGUAUGAAUGUUGGAGGUAAUUUCAUGGUCUCUUAAAGAGCUGGAUAGGCUUCCUUGAAGAUCAGAAUCAUAGAAUGGUUUGGGUUGGAAGGGACUUUUAAGAUCACCUGGUUCCAGCCCCCUGCUAUAGGGAGGGACACUUCCCUAUAAACCAGGUUACUCACAGCCCCAUCCAGCCUGGCCUCGAAUGCUUCCAGGGUGUGGGCAUUCACAACCUCUC